rnacentral:rRNA from 1 species
AUUGAACGCUGGCGGCAUGCUUUACACAUGCAAGUCGAACGGUAACAGGCCGCAAGGUGCUGACGAGUGGCGAACGGGUGAGUAAUGCAUCGGAACGUGCCCAGUCGUGGGGGAUAACUACUCGACAGAGUAGCUAAUACCGCAUACGAUCUAUGGAUGAAAGCGGGGGACCGUAAGGCCUCGCGCGAUUGGAGCGGCCGAUGCGAGAUUAGGUAGUUGGUGGGGUAAAGGCUCACCAGGCCCACGAUCUGUAGCUGGUCUGAGAGGACGACCAGCCACACUGGGACUGAGACACGGCCCAGACUCCUACGGGAGGCAGCAGUGGGGAAUUUUGGACAAUAGGCGCAAGCCUGAUCCAGCAAUGCCGCGUGCAGGAAGAAGGCCUUCGGGUUGUAAACUGCUUUUGUACGGAGCGAAACGGCUCUGGUUAAUACCCGGGGCUAAUGACGGUACCGUAAGAAUAAGCACCGGCUAACUACGUG